UGUCCUCUCUACCUUAUCUCUUUCUCUCCAGAUCUGAGCGGCACGGCGAGCGGCAGCGCUGGCGACACUCGCAUCCGGCGAUGCUUCCAACUCUGUCCAUCUAUUCCUCCCUCCAGUCUAUCACCACCCCCAUCCCCACAUCGGUGUUGUUUCCCCAUGUGCAGACGGUCCUGUGGCACCGAUGCUCUCACCCAGCUGCCGGCGGCGGCACUUCUUGUUCGCUCCCAAGCGCCCAGUGAGGCCACCUCUCCCCUUCCUCCGAUGCCACCUCUGCCCCAAUCCAUACCCAGCUCCCUCUCCACCCUCCCAUGGUAGCAGAUCUGAGCGGGACAAGGUUCCUUCGUUCCUGCUGGUUCAGAACAAGGCGGGUGGUCUCUGCUCCCUUAUUUUCUGGCAACUAGGAGCAUGGUCGUGUUGCCCCCAUCUCUCUUAGCUAUCCAUGGCGGCAAUAAAAACAUCCAGUGAAACAAAUCUUAAUAAGUUUUGUGGAUGUUUCGGCAAUUACUCAACUACUAACAAAAACAUAAGGCCACUGGAAGAUGUCCAUAACUAUAUGCCUGCAUCACAUCAAGUGCAUCUAGAUAUGUAACGAACUAAAUUCAGGAUUCUUCAAGAAGCUGCUUGUAUUCAUGCACAGUGGCGUUGUAGCCAGGGUUCAGUACGUUUGUAGGGUUCAGUCGACACAUGGUUUGCUUGGAAUUCCUGGCUAUGUACAGUUCACCUCCCAUAUUCGAAGAUAUGUCAACCUGCUAGCUCAUUAUCAGGUAUUUUUAUGCAUCUAUUAAUCAUAUGAAAUGUACAAACAGGGAUAGGAUACAAUUUGUAUGAACUUUGGUAGUUAAAUAGCCUUCCUUUCAAAUUGCGAAUUUCUACCUUGUGUUAUGAAUGGAGCGUAGUUUUAUCAUCAUUGUAGCUUAUCUGAAUGACAUAAUAUUAGUGUGUACAAGUUUAGCAGAUAUGACAAUCUUCUUGUUGGACAAAUCCACAAUUAGUUUUAUCUCAUAUGGUCAUGUAUAAAGAGGCCGAAUAACAUCAUUUAUUUGAUUUGUCUUGGCUGGUGAUGAAAAACAUGUUAAUCAUACCAUCUUUUAGGACUGAUCGGUCGCUGCGUCCAUGCUGGCUUUCUGCAAUUCUGAAGCCAAAUUAAAGAACAUUCUUUAAUAGGUUAAUUUUGUGGACAUGGUGCAAUCCAUUUUUAUACGGCCACAGAUUUGAACUCUUCCCUUUAUUUUAACAAAGCCAUAGCUUGGUUGUGUGGCAUGGAUGAAGAUAUGCACUGGGCUCCGAGCAGCAAACAUUGAUGCGUUCUGAUGAAGAUCCAUUUGCCUAGAAAGCAUUGUUUGACGACUCAGCAUUGCACUUCAGAACCAUUUGUUCAUCUAUUAAAGAACAUGAGGGCUGCAUUGUACCGAGGCCUAGGAUUUUUGUACCAUCAUUUUGCCUUCCAGAUUCGGCAUAGUCAAACCAGUAAGGAAAUCUGGUCAGUCGUUGUGCCCAGGUCAAUGGGCAAACUGCUUACCAAACUUCCUACAUCUCUUAUCAUCUGUUUUCUUUUUCUAUAAAAUUCUGCACGCUUGCAGCGGAGGGGAUUGUUUCUAAUUUGCUCAAAUUCUGGAUACUGGUUUGUUGUAGCUGAGACUACCUCGUUCCAGCAUGUAAGUAUGCAUGCUUUCACUAGUAAGGUAGCAUGAUUCAAUUUUGUGUGCUUGUUUGGCAACCUGCCUUUUGUUCGUUUCUUCUUGGGUAUUAGAGACAAUGACUAUUGAUAUUUGGUCUUGUUCAUCGUAACUGGCAUCUUUUGGCCUUGCCAACCAUUCUGUUAUACGACCACCUAUAUUCUGAGUUUUAUUUAGUAUGUCGUGGUUACGAUGAUGAUUAGUGAGAUGGUUUACUUACCAACACUAUGCAACAUUGCAAUUGCACUGGAGUCAAAUGGUGAGAUUUUCUGUUAACAUAUCUUUCUCAAAAAAAUCAAAUUCUUUGAUUCUUACUGCUGGUAACUGAUGAUCAUAUAUCUUACACCCCCAAUGGAAAAUUCCAUGUGUGUAUUAAACUAUUAAUAAUCUCCACUCAUUAUAUAAUGCCUGCAUUAAAAUGAUCUAUUUGUUAUUUUUUCCUUUGCAAAUUUAUCAAUCAAAGCGUGCAAUAGGAUGGCAAGUGAUAUGAAACUAGAAGUACAUGGUGUAGCAAGUGGGCAUCAUAGAUUGUUGUUGGAUCUCUUCAAUUGACUGCUUUUAUUCUUGGUUAGUUUUCAUGGAAAUACAAUACUCGUGAAUCAGCUUUUUACUGUUUUUUGAGAAUAUACACUUCGACUUCUUACAGAGACUUAUUAAUCAAUAAGACAGAACAGUAUAUGUACAGUCGCAGCUACGCUCACAUGUACUGAUAGAGUUUGGUUGUACGGCACCUUUCUGAAGAAACUGCAGGUAUCUAUAAUUUUGUUUGACAGAAGAUCCCAAAGAUCAUGUAUCAGUAUGGUAGUCCUUUGUAGUCUGUACAUUCCCAUUGUUAGGAGUGUAAAUUCAAAUGAUUCCUUAUCCCAGAUCUUUUUAUUGUGCAAAGAGCUUAUUCUUUUUUGAUGGGAUGUUAUUAGAGGUCUGAGGUAUAUAAGUCAAUGCGGUAAAUGAUGUCUAAAGUUUCAUGUAAACUCUUACUUAUUUGUUGCCCAUUCUGUUUAAUCUUUGGCGAUAAAUACAAUACCGCUCCAUAAAAUGAGCGAAUAUCGGAGAAGGUUGCUCUCAGUUUCAGUUUUAAACCAUUUGUCUUGUUGCCAUCUACUUCUAAAUUUUUAAUUCGGUCAUUGUAAAAGUCAUCUAAUGGGCAACUCCUUGUAUAAUUUAUCUUGUUGAUAUUCAUGGAAGCUUUUACAGUUAUCAAUGAAAUAUAGUGUCUAUAAAUUAGGACGUUUUAACGAGUGCUUAGCAUGCACUUUACAUGGUUACCUAUACCUGAAUGAAGUACCUUCCUUAGUAGGUGUUUUUGUACUAGCUUGGCUUGUGAAGUAACAAUUGAUUGUCAAUGUUAUGCUUUAUACAAAUUUUGAUGGUGUGAUUGUCUAUGAAUGUAAUCGCAACUUCUUUACAUUUUGUAGGAAAGACAUGCCAGAGGACGAGGAACCAUGAUGCCAGCGGUUUACGUCAACGUGAUAUUUUGGGUAAUGGUGAUUGAUUCAUUGGAGAUGCAUUUUAGCUACCAUUUCAUAAACCCACAUUGUGUAUGGGACAAUGAACCAUAAUGUAUUCAUUCUGUAAGAUCUGCUGUAUGUAGUUGCCCACUAUAAGGAGCCGAGGUAGAUGAUGUGCGUCGGAGACAUUCUAGAAAACAAAAGAAAUUUUUGCUCUCAGACAAUGAACCAGAAAGUUUCCUCUAUUUAAUUAGUUACAUUACUUUAUAGGGAAUUUGGACGGUCACUAGUUUAUAAUAGAUGGACUAUUUAUAUGUGAAAAGUAAUGAAUGUAUGCUAUUAUUCUUUGGUUCUUGUUUAA